UACAGAGGUCUCAAGCGUUGUUCGGAUUCAUUGGGCGUAAAGGGCGCGUAGGCGGUGAUGCAAGGCUGGUGUGAAAUCUCGGAGCUCAACUCCGAAAUUGCACCGGAUACUGCGUGACUCGAGGACUGUAGAGGAGAUCGGAAUUCACGGUGUAGCAGUGAAAUGCGUAGAUAUCGUGAGGAAGACCAGCUGCGAAGGCGGAUCUCUGGGCAGUUCCUGACACUGAGGCACGAAGGCCAGGGGAGCAAACGGG
rnacentral:rRNA from 1 species